AAACUGCGAUAAGUAGUGUGAAUUGCAUUUAGUGAAUCAUCGAAUCUUUGAACGCACCUUGCACUCACUGGUAUUCCGGUGAGUACGCCUGUUUCAGUAUCAUUGAAAACACACAAUCAAAACAUUUUCUUUGGUUUGAUUGGCUUUGGGUCUAUCAAAAAGUUUGGCUUGUUUCUUACAAGCCAAGCGGCCUGAAAUAUAUUGUCUGGCUAAUUGCAUCGUUGAUGAUCGCUAUUAGACUUUGGCUUUUUUAAAUGAACUGGAGGUUGAUUAACCAGUUUUAGCUUUAGUCAAAUGGUCAUUGUAAAAAAAAUCUCGAUCUUGGCUAGGUGUUUAUAGCCGAAAAUUUUUUUUUGGCUAUAACCGAAACCAAUAUAAUCACAUUUAGUUUUCGAUCUGAAAUCAGGUGGGACUACCCGCUGAACUUAAGC
rnacentral:misc_RNA from 1 species